UCGCCGCGGUAAUACCAGCUCCCCGAGUGGUAAGGAUAAUUAUUGGGGCCUAAAGCGUCCGUAGCUGGCUUAACAAGUCUUCUGUUAAAUCCAACGAUUCCAUCGUUGGACUGCAGGAGAUACUGUUGAGCUAGGGGGGCGGAAGAAGCCGACGGUACUCCUGAGGUAGGGGUGAAAUCCUAUAAUCUCAGGAGGACCACCAGUGGCGAAGGC
rnacentral:rRNA from 1 species